CCGGUCUCCGGGGACACCCCCCACCCGGGUCUGCGCCCUCCUCCCGCCAGGCCUGCGAAAGGCGCGCCUCGCCGUCAGAUGCAGCCCUGGGGUCAGGUAGCCCUGGCGGAGCUCUGUGCGCGCGUCCCUUCCUGUUCUAGCAGGCGCCACCCCUCACCCAGCCUCCUCUCGCGGGCUCCCAGCCUCAGUUUCCUCAUCUGUUAAGCAGCGAUUACUCCUAUCUACAUUACAGGGUUGUUACGAUUAAAAUAGAAUAAUCAUGUAAUGUGCCCUUGCUCUAUAAAUGGGGUCCUCUGUCCUCCCCGCCCCCUGCCUCCUCAGUCAGGCCUGGGAUCAGCGAGGCCUUCCCGUGUCCCUGUCCUGUCCCCCUCGGCCUGGAACUGGAGCUGCGGGUGCAUCAGCACCCUUGCCAGGGCCCUUUCCUCUCCUCCCUCCCCCUCAGGGUUACCUUGGAACGUGCCUCCUACAAGAGGAUGGUCCAACUGGUUGUCCGAACCUGCGGGAAUCCCAGGCUGAGGUCCAACAGUAUUCACGGAGGGCGCAGCCUGGCUGGAGUUCUAGAAGUCAGCCCUGGGUACUCCAGAGAGCCUGGCAGAGCCAGAGGUCGGCCCGGAGUCCUUAGCUGCGGGUGAAGGGCGCGUGGGCGGAGAGAACAGGCUGGGGCCCUGGUGGAGGACCUGGCCUUCAGCUCUCAGGGAGCACCUGGAGGCUUCCCCCGUCCCGCCUCCUCUCUGACGGUGGCAAAAAUGCAGAGGAAAGCCCACGUCCCGUCCCCAGCUGCCCCAGCCUGGUGGUUGGGAUUCAACAGGGACAUCCGAGGGACGGAGGCUGCUGUGUGCCCGUGUCCCCCUCGCUGUCAGGAACCCCGGGCUUUGCAAAGAGCUGGCUGCCGGGCAUCCCCUGACUUUUCCCUGGGUAACAUUGCCAAGGAACUGUGGUGCUGGCCAGACUUCCCACGCCCGGCCCUGUGGCUCUACCCCCCUCCGUCUCUUGCCCAUGGAGGCUCGGAAUAAGCUUUCUAGAGGAUGCUCUUUCUUGUGUGAGGGGUCAUCUGAGGUCGCCGAGACGGAGCUCUUCACCAGAGAAAUGCAGGAACAUCUCUGCAGCUAAAUGAGGCAAUGUCUGUGGGGGACUCGGCCUUGCCAGGCAGGCUCCAGAUGCAUGCUCCCUCCCUGAGAGACGUUGCCCUUGGCCGUGCAGCCCUUGGCCAGGCCAACCACUGGGCUCUAUCCCUGGGUGCCUUUCCAGGCUGUCCUUUGCUCAAGGUGUCCUUAACAGAGCCUAAAGGGACAUUCCGCUUCUCCCUAUGCCCAAGAGCAGAGAAGGACACAUUUCUCAGGCUCUUCCUGAAAGAUUCAAGGAAAGAAAAAAACGUUCUUGAUCUGAGAUCCUGCAGAACCAACCCCCCAGAACUGGCUUGAGUGGCGUCUCCAAAAUUCAUGUCCACGUGGACCUCGUGCAUGUGACCUAAUUCGGAAAUCGGGUCUUUGCAGAUGUAAUUAGUUAUGAUGAGGUCAUACUGGAUGAGUUUGGGCCCCAAUCCAAUGGCUGGUGUCCUUAUAAGAAGAGAGUUGGACACAGACACACAGAGAAGAAGGCCGCGUGAAGACAGAGGCAGGGACUGGAGUGACGCAUCCGCCGGCCAAGGAUUGGCAAGGACCUGCUGGCGGCCACCGAAGCUGAGAAGCGCAAGGAAGAAUCCCCCCCCCCCCCGCCACCCCCGGAGACUUCAGAGGGAGUGCAGUCCCAUGGACACCUUGAUUUUGGACUUGUGACCUCCAGAACCGCAAGGAAGUCCGUAAGUGUUGUUUUAAACCUCCCAGUGCGUGGUCCUUUGAUAUGGCGACCAGGAAAGUUGGACAACCACCGAAUGUCAAACAGAGGGCAGCUGAGGAAAACAAGAAGGAAACAGAGCAGGGGCACAAAGCAAAAGCUGGAAGAGACCAAGGAGGAGACGGGAAGAAGUGCUCCCUCCAUGUCUUCCUCUCUGCGGGGACAGGAAACCACCACGGAACCGGUGGCCCUGCGAGCAGGAGUGUGUGGGGCUGGAUGUUGGGCGAACGGGAGGCGUUCGAGAUCUUGCUGGUCCCAGGGAGCCCCUGCUAGUAAUAAUAAAGCUUUGACUUGGUCCUAUAUCAACCUUAGGACUCCCAGAGCAGGCUUUGUUGAGAUCCCCCACAGAGAGAUGAGGAACCCAGGCAAGGCCAUUAGGUGCUGGCCCAAGGUCGUUUUCCAGGAAGCAGUGAAGGGGGCACACACCCAGCUUCCCUGCCCGACAGCCAGCGCUCUGCCCUCUACCAGUCCGGGAGUGGGGGGUGGGGCAGCUCCCAUGCCAGUAUCCAGUGCCUCAGUGGCGUCGGCAGGUGCUGGCCCUGGUCAGGGACCCCAGCUCUGUUCCUGGCGAGCUGCGUGAUUUGGGACAAGUCACGGCACCCCCUAUUUGGCCGUUCCCUCCACGGGAAAACGGGGGACAAUAAUAGGGCCUAAGCCAUGAGAGUUCCUGGAGAAUUAAAUGUUCAUAUAGUUCAAGUGCUUAGACCAGAGCUCGGCGCACUGGAAACUUGAAGGUGUUUGUGAAAUGAAUAAAAGACGCUGAUGGGAGUACUCUUUGUCCAAGGAGAGCGCCGUGGGACCGCGAACCUGUCUUAUUCUCACUCCACAGGCCACGGGGAGGCCAAGGCCAACAACAUUCUCAUGCGGUCCUGGUCUGUUCCCCACAAAACCCUCCAGAGACUAGCCAGAAGGGCCCUUGAGACCGAGGAGCAGAGCUCCGCCCACGUCCUGGGCAGGCUGAUUCAGUUGCUUGAAUCCUGCCUUCUCGAAGGCUGAGGACACCUUUGGAUCCUGGGCCAGGCCAGCGGCUCUCUCCUCCCAGAGGAGAGCUCAGACCCCCGCCAGCAAUUCCGCCCGGAGUCCUGGUCAGUCGCCUCCCGGUUAGCUGUCUCGGGGGGACCAGGACUGGGGUGACGACUUGCUGUCAGGCAUCAGCCCAUGGAAAGAGAAUUGCACAGUGCACAACAGAGGGGUGGUACCAUGUGCUGCAUUUGCAGACGGAGGGAGCCGCGUGUGUGUGCCACCUUCCCCACCUGUCCCCUGGGGGGUCUGCAGCCUCUACUGGCCCUUUCCGUUGGCUCCUGUCCAGAUGUCUCUCCUCCCGCCCACAGAGCCCAGCCGGGUGACCCCAGGGCUUGUGGACUCUGCCUGGGUUGAAGCCCCUCCCCUUCGGCGCUCGAGACUGACCCACUCAGUCCUCGGCCUGCUGUGGGCACAAGGUCUCUCGCUGCAGCUGGGCCCCUUGGCUGACCUUCUCAGCUCCUUCUCUUAGACGGGAGAGGUCUGGCAGCACGCCUGCGGGCGGGCCGGGCUUUUCUCCUGGGCUCCUCCCUCCACUCCAGGGCUCUGGCCAUAGCCUGGUCAGGGUCCUCGCUGAGUUCCUGGCCAAACCCCGGAGUGAUGGCCUGAGGAGUCCAGCGGGGAAGCCCCAGGGUGUAGGGAAACAUGCCACAGCCACUGACUGCCCCGCCCCCCACCGGGCAAGGCCCGUGGGUCUCCAAGUGUCUUCUGGGUAGCCUUCCGGCCAGACCCCCUCGCCCACUUUCUCCGGGAGCCAAGGAGCACUGAAGAGCACAGGGAAGAAUUGCCCCUUCCCAGCGCUGGUUUCCUCUCCCUCCAGCCUCCUUUUCACGGGAUUCCGGAACAGAAAAAGUUACAUAGAGGCCAUCUCAUCUCUUUCCCCAGCUUCCGGAAACCAGAGUUCAGGGCAAUAUUGGGGUUCUCUGAGGCUUCGAGCAAAAUCCCGCACGUUGGGUGGGCCGGACGUCUUGCUGGAAUUUCCUUGGGAGUUCUGUGUGCAUUGGGCACCCCCAUCGAGGCUCCCUCCUGCUGGGAGAUGGGGGAUGUGUCUCAUGCUCCUAGCAACCACCCAAGGUCUCAGGACCUUGUCCCAGGGCUGAGCUGGCCAGUGUGGACUCAGCUGCCAUUUGAGUCCCCUGGGGAGCCUUCGCAGCCGCUGCUAGAUGGAGGUCCUGGACGGUGGGGGUUCUCGCACGCAGAUGCUAGCAGUCGUGGCAAGGGCACUGGACCUGAAGCCCAGUGAUCGAUGUCCUAAGGGAGGCUGCUUCUAUCACCAGUUAUCUGUGUCAUCUGAGGCAGGUCUGAAUCCCCUCCACACCUCAAUUUGCUCAUCUGGAAAAUGCAACAGAUGUCACUUUACCUGCCUCACUUGCAUCCGAGGCGCGGAGGGAACGUGGAAGGAUAUCACGUUAUUAGGGCGCAUCGAGAAGAGCAGAAAUGCCACUUAUGCAAACAUCAGGUGCUGAAAAUAAAAGAUGCCUGUUUGCGUCCCAAA